AUCCGGGUUGCGGACAGUGUCUGGUGGGUAGUUUGACUGGGGCGGUCUCCUCCUAAAGAGUAACGGAGGAGCACGAAGGUUGGCUAAUCCUGGUCGGACAUCAGGAGGUUAGUGCAAUGGCAUAAGCCAGCUUGACUGCGAGCGUGACGGCGCGAGCAGGUGCGAAAGCAGGUCAUAGUGAUCCGGUGGUUCUGAAUGGAAGGGCCAUCGCUCAACGGAUAAAAGGUACUCCGGGGAUAACAGGCUGAUACCGCCCAAGAGUUCAUAUCGACGGCGGUGUUUGGCACCUCGAUGUCGGCUCAUCACAUCCUGGGGCUGAAGUAGGUCCCAAGGGUAUGGCUGUUCGCCAUUUAAAGUGGUACGCGAGCUGGGUUUAGAACGUCGUGAGACAGUUCGGUCCCUAUCUGCCGUGGGCGCUGGAGAACUGAGGGGGGCUGCUCCUAGUACGAGAGGACCGGAGUGGACGCAUCACUGGUGUUCGGGUUGUCAUGCCAAUGGCACUGCCCGGUAGCUAAAUGCGGAAGAGAUAAGUGCUGAAAGCAUCUAAGCACGAAACUUGCCCCGAGAUGAGUUCUCCCUGACUCCUUGAGAGUCCUGAAGGAACGUUGAAGACGACGACGUUGAUAGGCCAGGUGUGUAAGCGCAGCGAUGCGUUGAGCUAACCGGUACUAAUGAACCGUGAGGCUUAACCUUACAACGCCGAAGCUGUU
rnacentral:rRNA from 1 species